GAUGAACGCUGGCGGCGUGCCUAAUACAUGCGAGUCGAGCGAACGGACGAGAAGCUUGCUUCUCUGAUGUUAGCGGCGGACGGGUGAGUAACACGUGGAUAACCUACCUAUAAGACUGGGAUAACUUCGGGAAACCGUAGCUAAUACCGGAUAAUAUUUUGAACCGCAUGGUUCAAAAGUGAAAGACGGUCUUGCUGUCACUUAUAGAUGGAUCCGCGCUGCAUUAGCUAGUUGGUAAGGUAACGGCUUACCAAGGCAACGAUGCAUAGCCGACCUGAGAGGGUGAUCGGCCACACUGGAACUGAGACACGGUCCAGACUCCUACGGGAGGCAGCAGUAGGGAAUCUUCCGCAAUGGGCGAAAGCCUGACCGAGCAACUCCGCGUGAGUGAUGAAGGUCUUCGGAUCGUAAAACUCUGUUAUUAGGGAAGAACAUAUGUGUAAGUAACUGUGCACAUCUUGACGGUACCUAAUCAGAAAGCCACGGCUAACUACGUG
rnacentral:rRNA from 1 species